UACGGGGGGAGCUAGCGUUGUUCGGAAUUACUGGGCGUAAAGGGCGCGUAGGCGGUUAAUUAAGUCAGACGUGAAAGCCCCGGGCUUAACCUGGGAUGUGCGUUUGAGACUGGUUGACUAGAGUUUGAGAGAGGUAAGCGGAAUUCCUAGUGUAGAGGUGAAAUUCGUAGAUAUUAGGAAGAACACCAGUGGCGAAGGCGGCUUACUGGCUCAUAACUGACGCUAAGGCGCGAAAGCGUGGGGAGCAAACAGG
rnacentral:misc_RNA from 1 species